rnacentral:rRNA from 1 species
GACGAACGCUGGCGGCGUGCUUAACACAUGCAAGUCGAACGGAAAGGCCCUGCUUUUGUGGGGUUCUCGUGUGGCGAACGGGUGAGUAACACGUGAGUAACCUGCCCUUGACUUUGGGAUAACUUCAGGAAACUCGGGCUAAUACCGGAUAGGAGCUCCUGCUGCAUGGUGGGGGUUGGUAAGUUUCGGCGGUUGGGGAUGGACUCGCGGCUUAUCAGCUUGUUGGUGGGGUAGUGGCUUACCAAGGCUUUGACGGGUAGCCGGCCUGAGAGGGUGACCGGCGACAUGGGGACUGAGAUACGGCCCAGAAUCCUAAGGGAGGCAGCAGUGGGGAAUAUUACACAAUGGGCGGAAGCCUGAUGCAGAAACGCUGCGUGCGGGAUGACGGGCUUCGGGUUGUAAACCGCUUUCGCCUGUGACGAAGCGUGAGUGACGGUAAUGGGUAAAGAAGCACCGGCUAACUACGUG